AUUGAACGCUGGCGGCAGGCCUAACACAUGCAAGUCGAACGAGCGGCGGACGGGUGAGUAAUGUCUGGGAAACUGCCUGAUGGAGGGGGAUAACUACUGGAAAAGGUAGCUAAUACCGCAUACCAUCAGAUGUGCCCAGAUGGGAUUAGCUAGUAGGUGGGGUAAGGGCUCACCGAGGCGACGAUCCCUAGCUGGUCUGAGAGGAGGACCAGCCACACUGUGACUGAGCCACGGUCCAGACUCCUACGGUGGGCAUCAGUGGGGAAUAUUGCACAAUGGGCGCAAGCCUGAUGCAGCCAUGCCGCGUGUGUGAAGAAGGCCUUCGGGUUGUAAAGCACUUUCAGCGGGGAGGCGUUACCCGCAGAAGAAGCACCGGCUAACUCCGUGCCAGCAGCCGCGGUAAUAC
rnacentral:rRNA from 1 species